UACGAAGGGGGCUAGCGUUGCUCGGAAUUACUGGGCGUAAAGCGCACGUAGGCGGUCUUUUAAGUCGGGGGUGAAAUCCUGGAGCUCAACUCCAGAACUGCCUUCGAUACUGGAAGGCUUGAGUCCGGGAGAGGUGAGUGGAAUUGCGAGUGUAGAGGUGAAAUUCGUAGAUAUUCGCAAGAACACCAGUGGCGAAGGCGGCUCACUGGCCCGGUACUGACGCUGAGGUGCGAAAGCGUGGGGAGCAAACAGG
rnacentral:rRNA from 1 species